rnacentral:misc_RNA from 1 species
GAUGAAGAACGCAGCGAAAUGCGAUAAGUAAUGUGAAUUGCAGAAUUCAGUGAAUCAUCGAAUCUUUGAACGCAUCUUGCGCUCCUUGGUAUUCUGAGGAGCAUGCCUGUUUGAGUGUCAUUAAAUUCUCAACUACACUGACUUUGAAUUGGUGUGGCUUGGAUUUGGGGGGAAAAUUGUUGUGGGCUUUUUGUAUAGUCUGCUCCCCUGAAAUUGAUUAGCGGUACCUUUGUGGAACUGUCUACAGGUGUGAUAAUUAUCUACAUCUUAGACAUCUGCUGGAAUGCUGCUUUCUAAACCUUACUUGUAUUGACAAUCUUGACCUCAAAUCAGGUAGGAAUACCCGCUGAACUUAAGCAUAUCAAUAAGCGGAGGA